UCGCUCUCAAUCAGAGAUUGUGUGAAUCUGAAGGUGCCAUUAUCUGAAUGGGGCCUCCACAGGCUCACUUCUCUUUCAUCACUGUACAUUUCCGGUGUAUGUCCAAGUCUGGCAUCUCUUUCAGAUGAUGACUGUCUUCUUCCUUCAACUCUGAGCAAACUUUUUAUCAGUAAGCUGGAUUCCCUGGCCUGUCUGGCUCUCAAAAACCUCUCUUCCCUUGAAAGGAUAUCCAUCUACAGAUGCCCUAAGCUCCGGUCCAUUGGGCUGCCUGAAACGCUAUCAAGACUUGAAAUAAGGGAUUGCUAACAACAUCCCAAGAUGAAUUCUGCGCCCUGUAUAAAAAACGGGAAAAAAACUCACUCAGGCUUGGAUGGGCGGUGGCUUUUGACAGCAUCACCGGCUUAUGGCUAAAACUGAGUGUAAAAUCUCUUGCCCUGCUUAAGCUGUUUUGUUCUUAUUUGUUUCAGAUCAAGGAAGCCGUUCAAUGACUCAUUUGUCGUUUGCAUUGUGUUUUUCCCUCCUUCAACAAGGAAGGAAAGAAAUAAAGAAGAAAAGAAACAUAUGAAAUCCAAAAUUUCCGAACAUUAAGCAGCAAAUUCACAUGGUGAUGGUAGGAAGAAAAGAAUGAUGAAGGUGGUCAGUGCUUAUCAGGACUUGUUUUUCUGGUUUCUGCUAUUGUACACAAGCAUGAAUAUGUAUGCUAU